CAAGUCUGCCAGUGAUGAUAGGCUGAAUUGUAAGAAGUCAGCAGAGGUCAUAGUAGUUUCUACGAAACGAAGGAC
rfam:Lysinibacillus manganicus DSM 26584 contig68, whole genome shotgun sequence.